CAAACUCUAGAAUUGAAACAUGUUUUUUGAAAUGUUGUCUUGUUGCUAUCUAUGUGCUAGAUCUUUUACGAAAAAUGAAUCUGGCCUAUACAGAUCGGAAAUGUGUUGAUUAUCAAUUUCAUGUUCCUCUAACAAUAUUUUAAAAAUAUCUCUAUAUUGAUAUGAUAAAAGUAAAAUGGUCAAAGCAUCGAAUUGAUGAUAAAAAAUUGGUCAUCUAUCUUUUGUAUUUAUCAAUUCUGGUCCUCUCACUUUUUAACAUGUUGAAGUUGGUCCCCACCUUUCACUUCAUCCACUUUAGUUCUUUAACUUCUAAAGAUGUACAAAUUGGUCCAUUCCAGGUUUAUGUACACCUUUAGUCCCUCGAAACUAUUUCGGUUCUCCUGCAGGUAUGAUCCCUGAGCUUCAAAUGCGUAUAAUAUUUUAUCCACAUUUUUGGUGUUGUGCUUUAAAUUCAAUAAUUGUUCCAUUUGUAUAUCAUUGGGACUGAGGAUAUAUUUGUAGAAAAGUUAAGCUCUCUCUCUCUCUCUCCCCCUUUUAUUUUUUAUAUUCGCAGUCGUGUAGUUUUUUUUAUUUUUAUUAUUAUUAUUAUUAUUAGAGGAAAUAUCACGUAAUGUCCAUUUUUAGUGAGUCAUUUGCAAAAAUGUUCACAAUUUUGUCAGUGUCCAUUUUUCAAUUAUGUAGACGAAAAUACCCCUAUUAGAAAAUAUUAUUUCCACACAAGAAUUCAAAAUUUUUCAUAUCAUUAUUCAUGUCAAUCAACGUAGAAAUGUCAAUCAGCAUUAAAUGCCUGGGUCGGGUCGAUGUGGGUAGAGUUAUGGGUCGAGUAGGUGCAGAUCGAGUUGGAUCGGGUUAUGGGUAAAAAAUGGAAACCUGAUGAACUUGACCCGAAUACAAAAAAAAAAUGAAGGUGGGGGAAUGAAAAAAUAAAAGAAGCCCUAAACUAAGUCCUCUCAACUCUCACUCUCAGUCUCUCAAUCUUCACUCCGACCCAACCUGCCGAUAACGAGCCUGUCCAUUUCUCUCUUAUUUUCCCAAUUGUCGUUUGCUCACCACACUUCAGAGUCCAGUGCUUUAGAAUAAGUUUAUUUUAUUAUUUUUUUCUUUAUUUCGUUAUUUUUUUCACUUCCCCAAGUCUCCCCUCUUCUUAAAUUUUAAGAUUUAGCUAGUUUAACAUAAAUUGAUAUCAAGGUCACUGAGUAUAUCGAUUCUAUUGGGCGAGCAAAUACUAACUGUUGAUACAAUUUGAGAUAAAAAGUGGUACAUGUGAAAUACUGUCGAAAAGGUUGAAGAGGUAAAGUGUUUAAAGAAAUCAGGAAAAUGAUUGUACUUUCUGUUGUCCCUGUUAUUGUAUCUUUUGUUUUGAGAUAUAAUCUAUAUGUCAACUAAAUUUGAUACUGCUAGAUGAUAAAUAACACUAGUACGAAGUGAAGAAUACUCCAUUUGAGGCAUAUUUCGCAUCUAAGUUAGGCAAUAAACAUGAUGAAAUGACACAGGUUGUGUUGCUAUUAUACACUCUUAGACUGUUUGAAUGCUCAUCAGCAACUAAAUGGCUUCAUUUUCGAAUCAAAUUUGUUCUGCAUCUUGUUGAGGGUUGCAUUUGUAUAUUGAUGGUUUCUUAUGGAGGAAGACUGUGAUAGGUUGAUAGUAGAUAGAAAACUUUAUCAAAUCUUAUGAUAUGUAUACUUGAUUUUGCGUAUAGUCUGUUGUAGUUGACUCUAAAUUCAUUUAAUACAAGGCUAUGUUGUUGUUAUUUAUUUUGCUAAAGAAUAUUGCAUUUUCGAUUUAUUUGAAUAUCUAAAUUAGGCAAUUAACUUAAUGAAAUUGUAGAAGAUUGUGUGUAUACUUUUGAACUGUUUGAAUGGUGAUCAAACUGUAAAAUGGUUACAUGAUAGCUUCAGAUCAGAAGCCAGGUUUGUUUUAAUUUCAACAAUUAAACAACAUAGUUUAGAUAUGGUAUUUUAUCAAACCAUUGUAUUGUAAAAAUCAUUUUUCUUUCACUGCAUUUUAACAAGAAUGUUAUAUUUGAUUUCAUUUGUACGUUCUCAUGCUAUUUGUUAAAGUAUUGUUUUCAUUUGUUUUGAUUUGUAGAUGAGUAUGACACACCGAUAUAAAAUUCCGGAGGAAGAACGUGUUCCGGCCUAUGUGUCACAAGUGAGCAACACAAAAUAUAUAUCAGUUGUCCUCAACAAAUUGGAUCCACAGCAAAAGCGUCAGUUGGAGUACAGUUGUAUAAGACAUGUUGCAAGGUUACCAAAGCUGAAACUAUCUGCUCAAUUAAUUCAUGAAAUGGUAAACAGAUCGGUGGUAUGCCGAAAGCAGUUUGAGGCUUGGUUCAGGGUGAACCAAAGAUUUGCAAGAUUUGGACUGUCGGAGUUCACACUAAUUACUGGCUUGAAGUGCAGUCCAAUGCCUAAAGGUGCCGAAAUUGACAAAAUCCUAGAGAAAACCCGUCUACAAUAUAAAAUGUUUACUAAUAUGGACCGGAUAACGUGUAGCGACCUAGAGAAAGUUUUUUUGAAAUGUACCAACCGUAACGAUCGUUACAAGCUUGGGUUGGCACUAAUUAUUGAAGGGGUAUUUAAUUCAAGAGAUCGGAAUAAAUUCGACAACUCUUUCUAUCGUUGACGACUUGAAUUUUUUCAAUGCCUACCCAUGGGGGACAGUAUGUUUUCAACUUUUCAUCAAAUCACUACUAUGUGGAUGGGGAAGAAAGGCGGACAUGGUAAAAGUGAAUGAUUGUGAUAGGAUGACUUGCACAUUGUACGGAUUCCCUCUUGCUGUCCAGAUUUGGGCGUACGAGGCAAUUUCGGAGUUGGGAGCUCGAUUCUCGAGUAAGACUUGUGACGAUGUCCCGAGGAUGUUGCGGUGGUCUAGCACGAAACAACCUCAUUCCCGGACAUAUUCAGAUUUUUUUUAGAAGACAAAUGUGCACUUGUGGGCAACGCUGUGUGCAACUGCUGGAGAAAAAUUGCAGUUGUACUUCGUCGAUCUAGUUCUGUUGGAAGAUGCAGUCGACCCCGUUCUAGAUGGUCUUGUUGCUCAAUCAAUAGAAAUACAAGCUUAUCCAGUUGAAGAUGAUAUCAUACGGAACGAUGACAACAACCAUCGACCAAAUAAAUCCCAGAGAGGCAACAUAGGUGGACCUCUUCAUCGAGGUUUGCAUCACGUUGAAGGCAGAGAAGAAGAGCAUGGGGAUCCGAUUGUUGAAAGACUUGUGUCUUUAGAUGAGAUAAGAGUUAUCUUGAAUGAACAACGGGAGGCAUUUGGGAGCAAGAUGGGGGAUUUGAGGGAAGAAAUGAACACAAGAUUCGCUAGUCUCCAAAAUGAUCUGGGAGGUCAUGUGUGUGGUUUGAGAAAUCAUGUCACUGAUGAGAUGAAUGUUCUUCGACGAAGGUUUGAUGAAGUUGCUAAGAAAUUGGACAACACAAUGUUGGUGCUGAGUAUGGUGGAUUUGGUCAUGACGAUCGUAGUGGAGACGAGCCUCGACAUGAUGUUUUCACUCCCAAUAUUUCUGCGAACAGACAGGAUGUCGUAGAGGCAAUCGAACCAGUUGUUUGCAAUAUCCCUGAUGUGUCCAUAACGUUAGGAGGUGGGGUUGGAGUACUUGGGUCAGUAUAUGUUGCUUGUGAUAUUGUAAAAGAGGCACCAGCCGUUGUACCUACAGUUGGUGUGACCAUUGAUGAUCAACUGUUCAUGAUAGCGUCGUUUCUGGACCUUCGAUGGCAGCUGAUCCACCUACACGUAGACCUCGAUCGUUGAGGCUGAAGAAGGCUAAUGCAAACAAAAAGACGCCAUAUACCCGAUCCGGUCACAAGAGGGGUAAGAGGGAUGCGUAGAAUUUAGAGGUUUGCCUAUUUUGAUUUAUAUGGUGGUUUUUCAAUAUGCAUUUUGGUUUAUGUCGUGGUACGGAAAAUUUAUUUUGGUUUAGACAGUGGUUUACAUAUUUUUGUUUAUAUGGUGGUAUGUAAUAUUUUGUGGAUGCAAACCGGUGGUUUAUAAGUUAGUGACAUGUUUCGAAUGUUGUAUGUUGAAAAUAGUUUAUAACUUUAUUAUCUCAUAUAGUGGAGUAGGAGAUGUCAAUGUUCUAAUGAAAUGUAGAGAAAUAUUAUACUUUA